rnacentral:lncRNA from 1 species
AAAAAAAACCCAUUCAAAAUGAGUGUCUUAUGACUCUUAUUCGAAACUGAUUGACUUGAUUUUUCUGAUUAUUCAUCCCUAACCUCUUCAGCGAAACUUGUAUAUACAUUGUAACCUGUGUUAUCCUACACUCUAGGGAACCAGAAAAAAAGUCGGAUAAAACAGGAUGUCGGAAUACUCAGAUUUUUUCUGCAAGGAUUGGC